rnacentral:lncRNA from 1 species
AUGCAUGAGAGGUGGGAAGUUGGAGCAAGGGCAUCUUGUUUGCAUGAGUGAAGACUGCAAUUGAAUGGUUAGCCACUGAACCAAUAAAUACACUCAUUCAGCACGCAGGCAAUGGUGAAGCACAGAGUAUUGUCCCUUCCAUCAUUCUUCCUGGAAAAAGCAAGCAAACGUCAUGGAAAAGUUCCAGAAAUGACAGCUUUCUUCCUGCAUGUUAUCAGAUGUUCUCUUUUUGCCCUUUCGUGAUGACCUGCCUAAGACUUGCAUACAGUUUGGAAUGGAAUGCCUGGGCUCAAAGGCUACAGCCCACAGGUCAGCAUCUGACAUUUUCAUGCACACCGUGUACAGCUCCCUGUGUGGUGGAAUGUGUCAUGUCAGAACAUGAAGAUCUGUGACAAGGCCUGGCAAUGGCUUUGACAGAGAAACUUCUCAGAAAAACUUGCCUGUCUUUUUCUAAUGAGGAAAUCCCAAAAAGAGAAGCUGAAACUUUCCUGUUGUAGAAGGGUAAUAAGUAAGCUGUGGAGAAAAUUGGACAAAUGCAGAAAUCUAUAUAAAGCAAGUGUGACUUUUUCCCGGGAGAAGAUCUUGCCAGAAAACAUGGUGGUCGUAUCAUAUCUGAUUGACUGGUGCAAAACAUGGACUAGGUUUAGUUUUCUGCACUGAACUGAAGACUGUCUUAUGCCUCCAAAAUGCACUGCAGAGUGUCUGCCAACAAUUGUUCACUAGCUGUGAAUGUUUGUUCCUUUUCAAUGCUUCAUCUAAUUCCAGGUGCCAGUGACUUUGCUACCACUCUAAAUGUGGUUAAAAAGAACAACUUUCAAAUUGAUUGUAAGUGGAAAUAAUAGGUCUUUAUAAUUUGUCUAUAAUAUAAAGGACUCUAGAUAAAACCGUUAAAUCUCUCCCAUGACUUACGUAUAAAGUGCUGCUUUCAUUUCACAAGGAAAUUAUUGAUUUCAAUUAGUUCUCUUUAUACUAGAAAUCAUCUGGUAUUAAUUUAAAAAUUUUUGAGAUGUCUGUGGAAUAAGCAAAUGAGACAACAAAAAGCUAUGUUUUAAAAAAUAAAACUUUCUGAUAUAUACAAAAUUAAUAUUCUUUUGGGGAAAAUUCAAAAUAUAGAAAAUUAUUGCUUAAGUCCCUGCAAAAUUCUAUCACCCAGAGAUAAACAUAGUUAACAUUUCUUUUUGUGAGCAUUCUCUAGAGAUAAUGCUUUUUUUCAUAUUCUUGGGCAAGUUAUUCAGUCUUUCACUGUGUAAGCAUAUUUUUCCUCUUCUAUAAAAUGGGAAUAAAAAUGAUACUUGUCACCUAGGGUUGGAGAUUUAAUGAGUUAAUAUGUAUAAAAUGUGUAACUUAGUACCUGAAAAUAGUUAAUAAAGAUUUACUGACAAGGCAUGGUGGCUCAUACCUGUAAUCCCAACCAACAUAUUGG